GGCGUCCUAGUGAAAUGGUUAUCACGUCAGUUUCCGGUUUUGGUACAUUAUCGGACACCUAGCUGAAGGUUGGGGGUUCGAGUCCCCCGGAUGUCG